ACGCUCGACACCUACGGGAAGCAGCAGUGGGGAAUAUUGCACAAUGGGGGAAACCCUGAUGCAGCGACGCCGCGUGAGUGAAGAAGUAUUUCGGUAUGUAAAGCUCUAUCAGCAGGGAAGAAGAUGACGGUACCUGAGUAAGAAGCCCCGGCUAACUACGUGCCAGCAGCCGCGGUAAUCUGAGGCGGGCUGGCAAGGC
rnacentral:rRNA from 1 species